UGUUGUCUACCCUUUGCGAUCCCUCGAGAUAAUUAGCGGCGCACUUUACGCGAUUAUUACGUCCGCCUGGUGGAGUGCCACCUCACAGGUUAAACUCAAAGGAAUUGCAUGGGGCCCGCACAAACGCUGUCGCGCGUGUUUUAAUCCGAAAAAUCCGCGAAAAGCCUUCCCCCUCCUUGUCACAUGGAGAGAUUUCCCGAGAGAUAGACGGGCCCUUUUGGGAUCUCACACACAGGCACCGCAUGGCUGUUCUCAGCUCGUGUCGUGAGAUGUUGGGAUAAGUCCCGUAACGAGCGCAACCUUUCUCCUUAGUUACCAGCACCUCGGGUGGGCACUCUAAGGAGACUGCCGGUGACAAACCGGAGGAAGGUGGGGAUGACGUCAAGUCAUCAUGGCCCUUACGGCCAGGGCUACACACGUGCUACAAUGGUCGGUACAAAGGGUUGCCAAGCCGCGAGGUGGAGCUAAUCCCAUAAAACCGAUCGUAGUCCGGAUCGCAGUCUGCAACUCGACUGCGUGAAGUCGGAAUCGCUAGUAAUCGUGAAUCAGAAUGUCACGGUGAAUACGUUCCCGGGCCUUGUACACACCG
rnacentral:rRNA from 1 species